rnacentral:rRNA from 1 species
UACGGAAGGCAGCAGUGGGGAAUAUUGCACAAUGGGCGCAAGCCUGAUGCAGCCAUGCCGCGUGUAUGAAGAAGGCCUUCGGGUUGUAAAGUACUUUCAGUCGUGAGGAAGGUGUUAAGGUUAAUAACCUUAGCAAUUGACGUUAGCGACAGAAGAAGCACCGGCUAACUCCGUGCCAGCAGCCGCGGUAAUACGGAGGGUGCGAGCGUUAAUCGGAAUUACUGGGCGUAAAGGGCACGCAGGCGGUUAAUUAAGUUGGAUGUGAAAUCCCCGGGCUUAACCUGGGAAUGGCAUUCAAGACUGGUUAGCUAGAGUCUUGUAGAGGGGGUAGAAUUCUAGGUGUAGCGGUGAAAUGCGUAGAUAUCUGGAGGAAUACCUGUGGCGAAAGCGGCCUCCUAAACGGAAUACUGACACUGAGGUGCGAAAGCGUGGGGAGCAAACAGGGAUUAGAUACC